rnacentral:lncRNA from 1 species
GUUUUUGAAGGAGGUUGAUAAAAAUUAUAUAAAAAUGAGAUUAACAUUAAAAUGAAACUUUUUAUUUUAACUUUAAAUGUUUAAAAGAUUAUGGAAGGUAUUUGGAAUAAAGUGCAGAAACACAUAGAAAUGUCCCACAGACUGAACCCUUCAACCCAACAAAACCAACAAACAGCUAUGUUUUCAACUGUUACAUAUUAUAAAAUCACAGAUAAGAUCCUCAGCAAACAUAUGAGAGGAAAGGCGAGAAAAAUCCUUAGAAGAAGAGCCCCCCACAAUAUUUUGACACUAUACGUAACGAUAAGGAUCCUAUAGCAAAUAAUAAAAAAGUGGGCAUUUACUCAAUACCAGUUUAUAAUGAAAAUGGCGAUAAUGUACGUUAUUACAUUGGCAGCACCAAACGAAGUCUCAACGUAAGACUAAAAGAACAUGCAGAUAGUAUAAAGCAGCGAGAUUCGAUACCGCUUUAGCCACUUUAGCUUACGAACAAAACAUAAUAAUUAAAUGAGAUGAAGCUGCUAUAAUUAAACCAAUACGGUACAAUACAGGCAUAACUACACUAGAAGCUAUUGAGAUACAAAAAAGAA